CAGUCGCCGCGGUAAUACGUAGGUGGCAAGCGUUGUCCGGAAUUAUUGGGCGUAAAGGGCUCGCAGGCGGUUUCUUAAGUCUGAUGUGAAAGCCCCCGGCUCAACCGGGGAGGGUCAUUGGAAACUGGGAGACUUGAGUGCAGAAGAGGAGAGUGGAAUUCCACGUGUAGCGGUGAAAUGCGUAGAGAUGUGGAGGAACACCAGUGGCGAAGGCGACUCUCUGGUCUGUAACUGACGCUGAGGAGCGAAAGCGUGGGGAGCGAACAGGAUUAGAGACCCGAGUAGUCCCUGUCUCUUAUAC
rnacentral:rRNA from 1 species